rnacentral:rRNA from 1 species
GAUGAACGCUGGCGGCGUGCCUAACACAUGCAAGUCGAGCGAACGGACGAGAAGCUUGCUUCUCUGAUGUUAGCGGCGGACGGGUGAGUAACACGUGGAUAACCUACCUAUAAGACUGGGAUAACCUCGGGAAACCGGAGCAAACAGCGGAUGAUAUUUUGCACCGCAUGGGUGAAAAGUGAAAUACGGUCUUGCUGUCAGUUAUAGAUGGAUCCGCGCUGCAUUGGCUAGUUGGUAAGGUAAUGGCUUACCAAGGCAACGAUGCGUAGCCGACCUGAUGGGGUGAUCGGCCACACUGGAACUGAGACACGGACCAGGGUCCUACGGGAGGCAGCAGUAGGGUAUGUUACGCAGUGGGGGGAAACCUUACGGAGCGGGGCCGCGUGAGUGAUGAAGGUCUUCGGAGCGGAAAGCCCUGUUAUGAGGGAAAAACAUAUGUGGAAGGAACUGUGCACAUCUUGACGGUACCGGAUCAGAAAGCCACGGCUAACUACGUG